AGAGUUUGAUCCUGGCUCAGAAUCAACGCUGGCGGCGCGCUUAACACAUGCAAGUCGCACGAGAAAGUGGAGCAAUCCAUGAGUACAGUGGCGUACGGGUGAGUAACACGUGGAUCAUUCACCUCUUGAUGGGGAAUAACCCUGGGAAACCGGGGCUAAUACCGCAUAAGCCUGGAAAGGGAAAGCAGCAAUGCGUCGAG
rnacentral:rRNA from 1 species